AAAUGCGUUCGGUUAAACCACGCUGGUUUCUAACCCGCCCGGUUUUGCCAGAAACCCCUCGGUUCGACCGGUUUUGAGAAACACUGCUCAGGACCCGUGGAUUGCAUCCCGAGCGAGGUGAACGACCGCGACCGAACCCAUCUUUCUCCUCUCGCGACAGCGGCGGCGCCGGCGGCGAUUCGAACGGAGGGGACGGCGGCGGAGACUCGGCGGUGGCCGGCUGGAGGAGAGGAGCGCCUCGAAGCUGAUGCCGCCCUUCCUCGACGCUGAAGCCGACGGUGGCCGGCUGGAGGAGAGGAGCCCGGCCGAAGACCUCUCCGAGGAAGGUCCAGAUCUCCUGCAUCUCCGCCUUCCCCGCCUCCGACUCCGGCUGUUAGUUGGUACAAUCCUCUCGUCCUUGUCCUCCCUUUCGCCUAUGUGACCUGAUCGGCAUGGAUCGGUCAGGCACCGUGCUUCCUCCCUCUUCUUGUUCGUGCGUUGCUGCAAGAUUUAUACACCGUUCACUAGCCAGCUCUUCGAUCGUGCAAAAAAAAAUUAUGUUUUCUUUUUGUCUUUUUUUUUUUUUUGAAGUGUUGAGCAGUGGUUGUUAGAUUACCAGGGCUGCAACGACAUCUAUGGCAACCUGCAACCUGGUCCUCCAGUUGAGUGGCGUUCUGAGAGGGUCUGUGUGGCAGUUUAGCUGAAGAAGAAGAAGAGAAUAGAUAUCUCUGAAUGAUAUAUUUCUAGAUAAUUGGAGCAUUACCAUGUAGGCAUUCCUUGAGGCUUAUGUUCUCCAUAUGAUCAAGCACCAGAAACCUGAAACAACAAAGAUAACAAUAUCACAAACACUGAAGGUUAGAAAAUUAGGAUAAAGAAAAGCAUGAAGAAUUGGCACGGAGACAAGGAGCAACCUGUUGAUCUGGUUGCUGUGACCACAGCGAAAUGAAGAAGAUAUGUGUUUAACCACAAUCUUGUGAAUAAAAGAUGUCCAUCUUGCUAUCAUUGAUGCAUAAUUCACUGCAAUUUCACCUGUAUGUCCAUUUUCGUGUAAAUAAAAGUUGUUGUUGAGUAUCCUUUAACAUGACUCCAUGAAUUAAGUUGAGUAUCAUUUAAUAUUGCUUUCUAUUGACUGCUUAUCUUUACCACAGAAAAUAUCUUGAUAUGCUUUGCUUUUUUUUUUCUAACGAAUUGUAUCUUUGUUACUGUCUGUGAUAUUUGUGUCUAGCUAGGUGUAUGUCCAAUGUGUCUGUGUUCAGUAAGAUGUCUCUUGAAUAGCAUUAGUAAGAUGUCUCUUGAAUAGCAUUACUAGUAUGAAGUUCUCUCCAUGUUUCUUCAAUCGACAACUACCUAUGAGGCUAUCAACAUGUGAUACUCACAACAUAAACCAUGGACUGAAGAGCAAUUCAGUCAUUUGAGACUUUGUUAUUAUAGUAGUAUUCACACUGAAUUCUUUUAAUAGAAAUUGAAUCUUUCGUACUCCCUCCGAUCCGAAAAAAGAGUCGGACGAGCCAUUUUACACAAACAGCCUCACGUUUCUUUUCUUCUAUACCCGCAGUCCACUUAUCCUCUUCCUUCCAACGCCACCCACCCGUCUUCCUCACAGUUCCCCAUUCUCACUUCUCCCUCUUGUAGAUCCAAUCCUGCACUUGCUCGCCGGCCGCCCCUGCACUUCCUCGCCGGCCGCCCCCCCCAGUUGUCCCCAUCGAUGAAUUAAUCUCUGGCUCUAUCUUCCUGCAACGCGUCAAGGGCGACCAGGCGGGAGGCUGGACGGCUCCGGCUGGGCCUCGCCGGCGCAACGUGUUUUUGGUUUGCAAUUGAUAGCUGAUGGUUGCGGAGCAGAGGAGGACCAGCUGCGCACCGCCGCAGGGAGGAGGUCGAGGGCGACAGUGAGCUCAGGCGAGCGUGGUGCCACGAGCAGGCCAGCGGCGGGCGCCGCGGGCUCUGAUAGGGAUCGAUUGCGGGGGCGAAUCGAUCGAUCUAUGUUUGCUGACCGUCUUGUUUGCCGAUUCCUCGAUCGACGGCGAGCUGAUUCAGUGAUUCAUUGACAGCGAAAGUUGAGGAUGAUGGAGAUGAAGACAAGAUUGUUGUUUGAAAUUCAAAUUUGAAGGCCUAAUUUGAGGCGUUUUCAAUGGUUUUGUUUUUUUUUUUUUUUUUUUUUUUUUUUUUGCAAACACAGAUUUGUAGGCUACAACUUCGUUUCCAGGACCAAUGGAGUAUAUAAAAGUGAU